rnacentral:rRNA from 1 species
UAGGGAAUCUUGCGCAAUGGAGGAAACUCUGACGCAGCGACGCCGCGUGGGCGAUGAAGGCUUUCGGGUCGUAAAGCCCUGUCGGAAGGGAAGAAAAACGAGUUGGCUAAUAUCCAACUCGCUUGACGGUACCUUAGAAGGAAGCACCGGCUAACUACGUGCCAGCAGCCGCGGUAAUACGUAGGGUGCUAACGUUGUUCGGAAUUAUUGGGCGUAAAGCGCGUGUAGGUGGUUAUGUAAGUUGGGUGUGAAAUCCCUGGGCUCAACCGAGGAAGUGCACCCAAAACUACACAACUAGAGGACGGUAGAGGAAGGUGGAAUUCCUAGUGUAGAGGUGAAAUUCGUAGAUAUUAGGAGGAAUACCUGUGGCGAAGGCGGCCUUCUGGGCCGUUUCUGACACUGAGACGCGAAAGCGUGGGGAGCAAACAGG